rnacentral:lncRNA from 1 species
ACACACAUAAUUUUUCUCAUCUUCUCCCUCAUCAUCCCCAUCAUCUGGAUCACAAAUUACAUCUUUCUUAUAAUUUUCAACCUCCUCGACCACAUGGACACUUAUCCGAUCAAUGCCUAAGCUUCAAAAAUUUAAAGCAUUUAAAUGGAGCAGGUUUAGCAUAAGGUUUGUUAGAUUUUUUAGCAUUACGAUUACCUCUUAGCUU